rnacentral:rRNA from 1 species
AUUGAACGCUGGCGGCAGGCCUAACACAUGCAAGUCGAGCGAAGCGGGGACGGGUGAGUAACACGUGGAUAACCUCCUAUAAGACUGGGAUAACUUCGGGAAACCGGAGCUAAACCGGAUACGUAUAGAUGGAUACGCGCUGCAUUAGCUAGUUGGUAAGGUAACGGCUUACAAAGGCAACGAUGCAUAGCCGACCGGAGAGUGUGUUCGGCCAAACGGGAACUGUGACACGGUCCAGACUCCUACGGGAGGAAGCAUUAGGGCAUCUUCCGCAAUGGGCGAAAUCCUGACGGGUCAACUCGCCGUGAGUGAUAAAGGUCUUCGGAUCGUAAAACUCUGUUAUUAGGGAAGCGGUACCUAAUCAGAAAGCCACGGCUAACUACGUGCCAGCAGCCGCGGUAAUUC